GGGUUGCCUUCCUCCUUCCUCUCAAAUCCACCUGCAUCCCUCCUCAGGCUGUGCAGUCAGUUGAAGAAGACAGUCUUCUCUGAUUGAAGAGAGUUGUUCUUCAGUCAAAGGUACAUGUGUAGCUGUGCUUGCGUGCUAGAUCCUCUAAUCAAGCGCUUAGAGCCCCUUUCACUCUUAUCUUUCAUCUGCUGACCAGAGACAGAAGAUUCUGGAAUGGUAGGACCAAAAAUUGAUGGAUCCAAAGUCUCUAAAUUUUCAUAUAAGGAAAGCCUCUUGCUGAC
ensembl:misc_RNA 7SK 7SK RNA